UUCGUUUGGGUGUAUGCCAUUUUCAAAAACCACACCAAACUUGUUUACCAGGAAAUGCCCCACGUGGUCUUGGCAUCUCCUGCUCCAGCGGCGCAACUAAUCAUCGUGAACAACGCNNNNNNNNGUCAAUUUAGGUUAAGGUACCCCUUCUCUCUCAAUCCACAUGGGCCAAAUCCCAAAUCGCCUCCAUUUCUGACUUGGUUUUCUCCUUCUGCAACUCAAUCUAUC
rnacentral:misc_RNA from 1 species